AGUGCAGCGAUUAUAACUGCAAAUCGAGUUCUACUGGCUUGUUUGCAGAACUCAAUGUUGCAAGAUUAAUUUGUGAUGCGCAGGGAAAUGCACUUCACCGAUUGCAAUUCAAAUUGCAGUCACGUGGUCGAGAUUCCAUUGCAGUCUCAACAAAU
ensembl:snoRNA snoRNA:Psi28S-2949 snoRNA:Psi28S-2949